rnacentral:rRNA from 1 species
ACGAGAAUAUGGCUGUCUCACUACCAGCAAUGAAAAUUAACCUUCAAGUGAAGAGGCUUGAAUUGUAUAAAAAGACGAAAAGACCCUAUGGAGCUUUACUUACAUAGAGAACGAGGCACAAUAAAAAAACUGCCAAACUCCUAAAUAGUUCAGUUGGGGCGACUGAGGAGCACUAUUAAAGCCCCCUCAACACACAAGAAAAUAAAUCUAUWAAAAAUCCACAAACGUGAAUAAAGAAUCAGCUACCCUAGGGAUAACAGGCUAAUCCUUCUCGAGAGCCCAAAUUGACAGAAGGGGUUGGCACCUCGAUGUUGGCUUAAGGUACCUCUAA